rnacentral:tRNA from 1 species
GUGGCAGGCUGUAGUCCUGCAAACAUGGGUUUAAGUCCUGUUUCUAUCA